UUAAAUUGAAGAGUUUGAUCAUGGCUCAGAUUGAACGCUGGCGGCAGGCCUAACACAUGCAAGUCGAACGGUAACAGGAAGCAGCUUGCUGCUUUGCUGACGAGUGGCGGACGGGGGAGUAAUGUCUGGGAAACUGCCUGAUGGAGGGGGAUAACUACUGGAAACGGUAGCUAAUACCGCAUAACGUCGCAAGACCAAAGAGGGGGACCUUCGGGCCUCUUGCCAUCGGAUGUGCCCAGAUGGGAUUAGCUUGUUGGUGGGGUAACGGCUCACCUAGGCGACGAUCCCUAGCUGGUCUGAGAGGAUGACCAGCCACACUGGAACUGAGACACGGUCCAGACUCCUACGGGAGGCAGCAGUGGGGAAUAUUGCACAAUGGGCGCAAGCCUGAUGCAGCCAUGCCGCGUGUAUGAAGAAGGCCUUCGGGUUGUAAAGUACUUUCAGCGGGGAGGAAGGGAGUAAAGUUAAUACCUUUGCUCAUUGACGUUACCCGCAGAAGAAGCACCGGCUAACUCCGUGCCAGCAGCCGCGGUAAUACGGAGGGUGCAAGCGUUAAUCGGAAUUACUGGGCGUAAAGCGCACGCAGGCGGUUUGUUAAGUCAGAUGUGAAAUCCCCGGGCUCAACCUGGGAACUGCAUCUGAUACUGGCAAGCUUGAGUCUCGUAGAGGGGGGUAGAAUUCCAGGUGUAGCGGUGAAAUGCGUAGAGAUCUGGAGGAAUACCGGUGGCGAAGGCGGCCCCCUGGACGAAGACUGACGCUCAGGUGCGAAAGCGUGGGGAGCAAACAGGAUUAGAUACCCUGGUAGUCCACGCCGUAAACGAUGUCGACUUGGAGGUUGUGCCCUUGAGGCGUGGCUUCCGGAGCUAACGCGUUAAGUCGACCGCCUGGGGAGUACGGCCGCAAGGUUAAAACUCAAAUGAAUUGACGGGGGCCCGCACAAGCGGUGGAGCAUGUGGUUUAAUUCGAUGCAACGCGAAGAACCUUACCUGGUCUUGACAUCCACGGAAGUUUUCAGAGAUGAGAAUGUGCCUUCGGGAACCGUGAGACAGGUGCUGCAUGGCUGUCGUCAGCUCGUGUUGUGAAAUGUUGGGUUAAGUCCCGCAACGAGCGCAACCCUUAUCCUUUGUUGCCAGCGGUCCGGCCGGGAACUCAAAGGAGACUGCCAGUGAUAAACUGGAGGAAGGUGGGGAUGACGUCAAGUCAUCAUGGCCCUUACGACCAGGGCUACACACGUGCUACAAUGGCGCAUACAAAGAGAAGCGACCUCGCGAGAGCAAGCGGACCUCAUAAAGUGCGUCGUAGUCCGGAUUGGAGUCUGCAACUCGACUCCAUGAAGUCGGAAUCGCUAGUAAUCGUGGAUCAGAAUGCCACGGUGAAUACGUUCCCGGGCCUUGUACACACCGCCCGUCACACCAUGGGAGUGGGUUGCAAAAGAAGUAGGUAGCUUAACCUUCGGGAGGGCGCUUACCACUUUGUGAUUCAUGACUGGGGUGAAGUCGUAACAAGGUAACCGUAGGGGAACCUGCGGUUGGAUC
rnacentral:rRNA from 1 species